GAUGAACGCUGGCGGCGUGCCUAAUACAUGCAAGUCGAGCGAACGGACGAGAAGCUUGCUUUUCUGAUGUUAGCGGCGGACGGGUGAGUAACACGUGGAUAACCUACCUAUAAGACUGGGAUAACUUCGGGAAACCGGAGCUAAUACCGGAUAAUAUUUUGAACCGCAUGGUUCAAAAGUGAAAGACGGUCUUGCUGUCACUUAUAGAUGGAUCCGCGCUGCAUUAGCUAGUUGGUAAGGUAACGGCUUACCAAGGCAACGAUGCAUAGCCGACCUGAGAGGGUGAUCGGCCACACUGGAACUGAGACACGGUCCAGACUCCUACGGGAGGCAGCAGUAGGGAAUCUUCCGCAAUGGGCGAAAGCCUGACGGAGCAACGCCGCGUGAGUGAUGAAGGUCUUCGGAUCGUAAAACUCUGUUAUUAGGGAAGAACAUAUGUGUAAGUAACUGUGCACAUCUUGACGGUGCCUAAUCAGAAAGCCACGGCUAACUACGUG
rnacentral:rRNA from 1 species